rnacentral:rRNA from 8 species
UUCCGUAGGUGGAACCUGCGGAGGGAUCAUUA